GGAGGGAAGAUCGUUCAAGUAAAUACAAAAUAAUAAUGGUGAAAGCGUCGCACCUUGGGGUACUCCGUGAGUGAUUGGUAGUGGAUCAGAUAGGGCGGAGUUGAUGCGGGUGGACUGAAAGCGAUCUGACAAGUAGCUUUUAAACCACUGUACUGUUGCUGGGGAAGCGCCGACAUUCGCUAGUUUGUGUAACAAUCUGUGAUGGUGGGGAGAAGGGAUGGGAGGAGGAGGUGUCGGAUGUCAAAUGGUCAUCAUUUUACAAAAAUAACGACUUUUACACAAAGUUUACCUGAGAAUGUCAAAAUUUACAAUAUACUUGAGCUUUACCUGAGUUUCACAGUUGUGGAGUUUACCCCCCCCCCCACACACACACACACACUCCCCUGUCUCUACGUCCCUGCUGAUCUUAGAUCAGAUAUAUAAUACAUAUUUACAUCUGGACUAGAUAUCCAAAAAUAAACUGCACCUACAGUUGCAUCUCCUGGUUUAAUAGAUCUAAUAAAUGUAAAAUAAUGCAUUUUCACUCAAUUACUUCCAUCUAGAAGAUCCUUCAACUGUAUGUAAACAGACUGA